GUUACAUAGUAAAUUCCAGGCAAGCAUGGGUUACACAAUGAGAAUUCAUUUUUAAAAAAUAAUAAUCAGCAAUAAAGCAAAAACAUCUUCUUAGAAACUUCCCAGCUGUUCACACAUUCCUGCCCAUGCAAUUGGUACCCAUGAAUGGUUACCACUGGGUCCUCCCUAAUCAAUCAACUGGGCCUAGAAAUAAAGAUCUAUAAUAGGUUUCUGAAGGUGAGGACAGAUAAGGGAAAAUCAGAACUAGCAACCAGAUCUAGCACUGUGCUGUGUCCCCUUCAUCCCUCAAAAUACAGAGAAGGCAAGCGAGGUUCCAUCUCUUGGUUUCUUGUUACUGCUGAGUUCCCAGAUACUAAUAUUCCACCUGCCAAAGGCACCAGAACAUGCGAAGACAAGAAGAGACUUUAAACACGGGAAUAAACAAAGCUUGAUAAAGCAUUUCCUUUAGCCUAAUAAAAAGAGAGUUUCCUC
rnacentral:lncRNA from 1 species